rnacentral:rRNA from 1 species
UAUGGUUUAUUAGAUCGUGCGUUCUACUUGGAUAGCUGUGGUAAUUCUAGAGCUAAUACAUGCAACUGGCCCUAACUUUACGGAGGGGCGCUUUUAUUAGAUCAAAAUCAAUCAGGUUUCGGCCUGUUUUUGUGAUGACUCUGGAUAACUUUGUGCCGACCGCAUGGCCUUGCGCCGGCGGCGUAUCUUUCAAGUGUCUGCCCUAUCAACUUUCGAUGGUAGGUGACAUGCCUACCAUGGUUGUAACGGGUAACGGAGAAUCAGGGUUCGAUUCCGGAGAGGGAGCCUGAGAAACGGCUACCACA